GCCUCCAUGGUCUAGUUGGUCAUGACAUGGGUCUCAUAGUCUUGUGACAUCCCUGGUAACAGGGUUGAAAUCCCGAGGUCACCAGUUCGAUCCUGGUUGGGGGCA
rfam:Aspergillus glaucus CBS 516.65 unplaced genomic scaffold ASPGLscaffold_3, whole genome shotgun sequence.